rnacentral:rRNA from 1 species
AGGUUAAGUUGAUGAGACGGAGCCGCAGCGAAAGCGAGUCUGAAUAGGGCGAAUGAGUAUGAGGUCGUAGACCCGAAACCAGGUGAUCUACCCAUGUCCAGGGUGAAGUUCAGGUAACACUGAAUGGAGGCCCGAACCCACGCACGUUGAAAAGUGCGGGGAUGAGGUGUGGGUAGCGGAGAAAUUCCAAUCGAACCUGGAGAUAGCUGGUUCUCUCCGAAAUAGCUUUAGGGCUAGCCUCAAGAUGAGAGUAUUGGAGGUAGAGCACUGAUUGGACUAGGGGCCCCCAACGGGUUACCGAAUUCAGUCAAACUCCGAAUGCCAAAUACUUAUUCUUGGGAGUCAGACUGCGAGUGAUAAGAUCCGUAGUCGAAAGGGAAACAGCCCAGACCACCAGCUAAGGUCCCAAAGUAUACGUUAAGUGGAAAAGGAUGUGGAGUUGCUUAGACAACCAGGAUGUUGGCUUAGAAGCAGCCACCAUUUAAAGAGUGCGUAAUAGCUCACUGGUCGAGUGACUCCGCGCCGAAAAUGUACCGGGGCUAAACGUAUCACCGAAGCUGUGGAUUGACACCAUUAGGUGUCGAUGGUAGGAGAGCGUUCUAAGGGCGUUGAAGUCAGACCGGAAGGACUGGUGGAGCGCUUAGAAGUGAGAAUGCCGGUAUGAGUAGCGAAAGAAGGGUGAGAAUCCCUUCCACCGAAUGCCUAAGGUUUCCUGAGGAAGGCUCGUCCGCUCAGGGUUAGUCGGGACCUAAGCCGAGGCCGAAAGGCGUAGGCGAUGGACAACAGGUUGAUAUUCCUGUACCACCUAUACAUCGUUUGAACGAUGGGGGGACGCAGAAGGAUAGGGUAAGCGCGCUGUUGGAUAUGCGCGUCCAAGCAGUUAGGCCGGAAACGAGGCAAAUCCCGUUUCCAUUAAGGCGGAGCUGUGAUGGCGAGGGAAAUAUAGUACCGAAGUUCCUGAUUCCACGCUGCCAAGAAAAGCCUCUAGUGAGAUGUAAGGUGCCCGUACCGCAAACCGACACAGGUAGGCGAGGAGAGAAUCCUAAGGUGUGCGAGAGAACUCUCGUUAAGGAACUCGGCAAAAUGACCCCGUAACUUCGGGAGAAGGGGUGCUUUUUAGGGUGAAUAGCCC